rnacentral:tRNA from 1 species
GGUCCUGUAGCUCAGUGGAUAGAGCGGCCGCCUCCUAAGCGGCAGGUCGGCCGUUCGAUUCGGCCCAGGAUCA